rnacentral:piRNA from 1 species
UCCUGUUCUUUGUAAACUUGAGGGAAGUU